UACAGAGGGUGCAAGCGUUGCUCGGAAUUACUGGGCGUAAAGGGCUCGUAGGUGGCCAACUAAGUCAGACGUGAAAUCCCUCAGCUUAACUGGGGAACUGCGUCUGAUACUGGAUGGCUUGAGUUUGGGAGAGGGAUGCGGAAUUCCAGGUGUAGCGGUGAAAUGCGUAGAUAUCUGGAGGAACACCGGUGGCGAAGGCGGCAUCCUGGACCAACACUGACACUGAGGAGCGAAAGCCAGGGGAGCAAACGGG
rnacentral:rRNA from 1 species